rnacentral:rRNA from 1 species
UACAGAGGGUGCGAGCGUUGUUCGGAAUUACUGGGCGUAAAGCGCGUGUAGGCGGCCCUGCAAGUCGGGUGUGAAAUCCCACGGCUCAACCGUGGAAGUGCACUCGAAACUGCAGGGCUAGAGUCCUGGAGAGGAAGGUGGAAUGCUUGGUGUAGAGGUGAAAUUCGUAGAUAUCAAGCGGAACACCGGUGGCGAAGGCGGCCUUCUGGACAGUGACUGACGCUGAGGCGCGAAAGCGUGGGGAGCAAACAGG